rnacentral:rRNA from 1 species
GUCUACAACCAUAUCACCCUGAAUACACCUGAUCUCAUUUGAUCCUGUGAAGGUAAGCAGGGUCCAGUCUGGUUAGUACCUGGAUGGGAGACCCUCUGGGAAUGCUGGAAGCUGUAGGCU